rnacentral:lncRNA from 1 species
CCAGGGCAGUUUUAAACUUACCGAAACAUUGAAAAGAUAGUAACAGAGUUCCCACAUACCCCACAGCCAGUUUUCCCUUAUUAUAGUCAAGUGUGAUAUACUCACUAAAAUUAUUGAACCAGUGUUGAUCAUUUAUUCCAAACUACAGUCCAUCGUUUAUCCAGGUUUCCUUAGUUUUCCCUAAUGUCUUUCCGUUCCAAGAUCUCAUCCAGGAGACAUUACAUUCAGUCUCCUUAGGUGGUGCCAGUGUCUCAGACUUUUCCUGGCUUUCUGUGACCUUGACAGUUCUGAGGAGCACUGGUCAGAUAGUUUGUAGGGAGCCCUUCUGCAGAAAUGAGUCUGAUAUUUUUUUUCUCAUGAUUAUAUUAGGGCUUUGGGGGUAAAGAAACAGAGGUGCCCUUUCCUUGCACCAUUAACAUCACCCUCAGCCUGGUUCGUCACUGUUGUCAUUGCUCUGGGUCACCUGGCUGAGAUGUGUUCAGCAAGUUUCUCCACUGUCCCCCUUUGUACAUAAUACUCUGGAAAGAGGUCCACCCUUCAGGAAUGGAAAGUGUGCUCUCCCUCCUGAAGGAUGGCAUCUCUGCCUAUAUUAUUUGGAUUUCUUCUGAAAAGGAAAUCUCUUGCUCCCCAUUGAUUUUAUUAUUCACCCAUUUAUGUAUGUCAGUAUAGACUCACAGUUCUUUAUUUUACCUUUUGUGUUCACAUCCAAAACUGCUUUUACUUUUUUCCUCAAAUUGUUCCAGUUUGGGGGCCAGUGGGAGCUCUUCCAGUUGGUUCCUAUAUCUUUUUUUUUUUUUUUUUAAAUUUUGUCUUUUUAGGGCUGCUCCUGCGGCAUAUGGAGGUUCCCAGGCUAGGGGUCUAAUUGGAGCUGUAGCUGACCACCUACACCACAGCCACAGCAACGCUGGAUCCGAGCCCCAUCUGUGACCUACACCACAGCUCACGGCAACACGGGAUCCUUAACCCGCUGAGCAAGGCCAGGGAUCGAACCCUCAACGUCAUGGUUCCUAGUUGGAUUCGUUAACCACUGCACCACAAUGGGAACUUCCAUUGUGCAAAACUUUUUAGUUUGCUACAGUCCCACUUGUUUAUUUUUACUUCUGUUGCUUUUGCUUUUGGUGUCAGAUUCAAAAAGUCAGUGCUAAGACGUUUGUCAUGGCACUUAUCACCUGUGUUUUCUUCUAGGGGUUUUGUGGUUUCAGAUAUAACAUUAUUCACAUAUUUAAUCCAUUUUGAGUUAAUUUUCGUGGCUAGUGUAAGAUAGUCGUCCAGUUUCAUUCUUUUGCAUGUUGCUGUCCAGUUUUCCCACCGCCAUUGAUGGAAGAGACUUUCCCCAUUGUAUUUUCUUGACCCUUUGUUAUAAAUUAAUUGGCCAUAGACGCACAAGUUUAUUUCUAGCCUCUCUGACCUGUUCCAUUGGGCUAUGUGUCUGUUUUUAUGCCGGUACCACACUGCUUUAAUUGCUAUAGCUUUUGUGCUCUGGUUUGAAAUUGGAGAGUAUGCUGCCUCUCUUCUUUGCUCUUCCUUCUCAAGAUUACUUUGGCUACUUGCAUUCUUUAUGGUUUUGUACACAUUUUAGGACUGUUUUAUUUCUAUGAAAAAUACCAUUGAAAUUUUGAUAUGGAUUGCUUUGUAUUUAUCGAUUGCUUUGGGUAAUAUGGACAUUUUAACAAUAUGAAUUCUUCUAAUCCAUGAGCAUAGAAUAUCUUCCCAUUUAUUUAUGUCUUCUUUGAUUUCUUUCAUUUAAGUCUUGUUUUCUAUAUAUAGGUCUUUCACCUCCUUGGUUACAUUUAUCCCUAGGUAUUCUCUUUUUGAGGCAAUUGUAAGUGCAAUUGUUUCCUUAAUUUCUCUUACUGAUAUCUCAUUAUUAGUAUGCAGAAACCCAACAGAGUUUUGUAUAUUGAUCCUGCAGUUUUACUAAAUGUAUUGGUUCUGACCAUUUUUAUGUCCACAUGGCCACCAAGAUACUCUCUUGGCAGCCAUUGGAGUGGACAGUGGAGAAGUGGACACAUGAAGCCUAUUAGCUCUGAUCUUGUGGCCCACCUAAUCAGUGCCCCGUAAUGGAGCUGCCGCUUGGAGGUGGAGCUAGAAUCUAUAAACAGGCCAAACAAAAAGAGUUUUGACGUCCUUACUCUGCAGCGUUCACAGGCAGAAGACUGCAGGGCUGUGGGCCCUCUGGUUUGUGCCAACCUGAAACACCUGGGCUUUGCCGCAAAACGCACAUACAGGGUCCAGGAAUUAGGUAGUCAGCCUAGUCUUAGGUUCUCUGUGGCCUCUUUCCCUCUGGCUGGUGUUUUCCUUCAAAGGAUCCAUUGAAUCUUCCAUUAAAAAAAUAUCAUAAAAUCGUGGGAUUUUAGAGCUACAAAAGACUUGCAGUAUGUUUAGUCCAACUUCUCGCUCCAUUUUAUUUAUAAUACCAUCUGCUAUUUGUUGAAUAGUAAUACAAAUAAUACCAAAUAUUUAUUGAUACAUACUAUGUGCUGGGAAAUUUUCUAAGUGCAUUGUUAUGUUACCUUAUUUCAUCUUCACAGCAAUAGGGACUCUCUUUAUCCCCUGUCUGUAGAUCAGGAGACUGAGGCACAGAGUGAAAAGGAACUUACCCAAAGACCAAGAACUAGCAAAUGGCAGAAUCGGGAUUCAAACCCCAUUUGUCUAACCCUGAGCCCUCUUAGCCUUCUGCUCUACGAAGACCCCAAAACAAAAUGAUAUACCCCACUUCAUGCAGCCAAAGAGCGAGAGUACUGAGACCUGGGGCCACUGUGGUGGAAAACUGGAAGUAGUUGCGAAUCUUCUUCGUCUUCUUAGGGCCACGCCUGUGGCAUAUGGAGGUUCCCAGGCUAGGGGUUGAAUCUGAGCUGUAGCUGCCAGCCUACACCACAGCCACAGCAACGCAGGAUCCGAGCUGCGUCUGCAACCUACACCACAGCUCACAGCAGCACCGGAUCCCCAACCCACCGAGCGAGACCAGGGAUCAAACCUGCAUCCUCAUGGAUGCUAGUCAGAUUGGUUUUCACUGUGCCACAACGGGAACUCCCUCUGUAUUUUCUUAAUAUAGACCCACCUUGAAAUACAGUGCAUGCUCCCUCUCUCGCUCUCUCUCUUCCUUUCCUCCAGCUCUGCGUUCCUAACGUCUGAGGGUACGCCAGUGUUUGUGACUGAAAUAAGGUGCAUUGUAAACUCACUAUGAAGAGGAGCUUGUGUGAUGAAGCAGAUUCUUCACUCCCAUGACCGUUGCCUUUGGGACAUGCAGCAGAGUGAAAACAGCUAGGGAGCCAUGUGUGGGCCCACACACUUACACACACACACACACACACACACACACACACACUCCCCUUAAAAAGAAGGAACACUGGUCCCUUCCAAGAGAAGAAAGCUUAGAGGUAGCAAUUGAAGAGAAAGACCCUAUUGUAUUAUCAGUUAGGCAACCCUGUUCUCACAAAUGUGAAAAGCUUCUCCAGGAUGAGUUUUGCCUGAAUUUCCCUCCCAAAAGUUCAGUGGUCAGAGUUGGAUCUGAGAGGGCCAGCCACAGGAAGGCCACAGCAGGCCAUGUUGUCUCAAGACAAGGAGCCGGCAAACUGGAAGACAGGACCUUGUGGGCUGUGUCUGGCAGGGCAGAGCUGUGGGCUGAGGCUGCCAAGCCAGCCCCUGGGAAUUCUUCCAAGUUUCCCUCUUGGGAUAGUUCUCCCCUCUGGUCUAGGGUGUUCACAAUUUUUUCAAAGCAAGGUCACAGAGGCAUGACACCCAAGUCAGUUGCAGCACGUGUCUCUCUACCCCCAGCUCUGGGACAGGGCCUCCUCCCCACAUGGUGAGGCCUCCAGAACUGGCAGCAAGAGAUGCAAUAUGUGCGAGAGAGCAGGAUGUGCUGGGGAAUGGAUAGCUGCUGUCCAGCUGGCCCGCAGCAGACCCGCUUCGUGGCUUCGGAGGACAGUUAUUAACGAAGAGCUGCUUCAAAGCCAGCUGUGCCAAAUGCUUUGGGCAUCAUUCCACCAGCUCGGUGCCAUGUCCUGUUGUCCCCUGCCUCUGGCCACACGUUUAUGUGAGUCGGGCUUUUAGUUAACUCCCUUCUUCUGCUGCUGCCCUCAUGGGAAGGUGAAGGCUUUGGCGGGUAUCAGCAAUCAGAGAUUUGAGUUGGCUUCCAUGCUCUGUCACCCUGGGACUCUCUCUCUGUCCUCCCUCCCUGGUGCCAGCUGAUGCCCCAUGGCCAGAGAGAAGGGUGGGGAGGGAAGGCUGCUACUUUCUGAAGCUUCAUCCUCACCUUUCAUUCAGUACCUGGAGGCUCAUGUUGUUGUGGUCCUCGCUGCCCGUACUGUUGGCUGGGUAAAGGGUCUCCUUGAUAGGAUUUCUGUAGGAUCAGGUCAAGGGCAGAGAAGCCAAGUGUGGGCAGCUGAGGUCCAAAGAGAACAAAAAGACCAUGGGAAGGAAGUGAAACAGGUGGCGUUGCCCAAGUGAAGGGGGGGCAGAGCUGCCAGUGCCAGACAGGUGGAGAGACCCUGGGACUUCCCAGCGGAUGCUCAAAAGACACCAGCUGCUCUGAGGCAAAGAGAAGGUACCUGGAUUCCUAAAUCAGAAGAGAGUCGUGUUGGCUCUGCUCAUUCAAGUCUACACUCCAAGGGUAUUAAUGAAUUAACCACCUGCGUUGAGGAUAACCGUCCAGGGACGGCACUGUGGUCCAAGGCCUGGACCAAGAUGAAGAUGUCAGGCUUCCUAAGCAAUAUUCAGACUAAAGAAGUGGAUUCCAGGGAGUACCCAUUGUGGCUCAGCAGGUUACAAACCCAACUAGCAUCCAUGAGGACAUGGAUUCAGUCCUUGGCCUCGCUCAGUGGGUUAAGGAUCUGGUGUUGCUGUGAGCUGUGGUGUAGCUUGCAGAUGUGGCUUGGAUCUGGCGUGGCUUGGCAUAGGCUGGCGGCUGUAGCUCCUAUUUGACCCCUAGCCUGGGAACUUCCAAAUGCUGCACGUGAGGCCCUGAAAAGCAAAAGAAUAAAAAUAAAUAAAGAAAUAGAUUCCAGAUUCCAGGCCACACCCUCAAGUUUCUUAUGGCUGCAGGCUCAAUUUGGUUUUGGUAAUUAAAGGGCCAAAAGACAUUUAAGGGAUUAUCCAGUCACCCUGGGUUUUGGAAGACUCCAGGGUUGGAACCUGGCUGAAGAGGGGCUCCUUUCCUAGGCUGUCUGGCGGCUCAGUCUUUGAACACAUUCUUGGCUAGACCUUCCAUAGUGGCUCUUUCUAUUCUCUGCCACUUGCUGAGAAGCAGGAAUCUAUUUCAAAAGCACUGCUGGCUCCUUAUGCCAUCACUUUUUCUGUAAGUGAUGGGUUUUAGUGUGUCCUCUGUCUGUGGAGCUGCUAAUUCUAACUCUUCUCAUCUCCACCUUAAGCUCCAGGUACACUCGCAAAUUCAAUAGAUAAUCGAUUAACCCAAAGGGUAAUUUAAUCAUUCCUAGACUUAGUCUUCCUUUCUGAGAAGGCCUAAGACCCCUGACCAGUAUCCACUGUACUUGCUCCUGCUCCAGUUUAAGCAGAAACCCUGGGGUACCUCUCUGGCAUGCCUGGUAUUUUGACCAUAGGCAUUUGGCUGUAGACAUCUCUGCCACAGGCAUUUUUACUGCAUAACUAAUUGUCAGUAAUAACAAUGUUAAAUAACAAAAUUAGGACUUCCUGCUGUGGCGGAGUGGGUUAAGGUCCAGUGUUGUCUUUGUGGCAGCUCAGGUUCGAUCCCCAGCCUGACGCAGUGGGUUAAGGAUCUGGCAUUGCUGUAGCUGUGGCAUAGGUCAUAGUUGCGGAUCAGAUUCAAACCCUGGCCAGAAACUUACAUACGCCUCAGGUGUAGUUAAAGCAAAAAAUAAAAAUUUUAAAAAAGGAGUUCCUGUUGUGGCUCAGUGGUAACGAACCCAACCAGUAUCCGUGAGGAUGCGAGCUCAAUCCCUGGCCUCACCUAGUGGGUUAAGGAUCUGGCAUUGCUGUGGCUGUGGUGUAGGCUGGCAGCUGCAGCUCCAAUUUGGCCCCUCGCCUGGGAACUUCCAUAUGCCGCAGGUGCAGUCCUAAAAAAGACUAAAAAUAAAAUAAAAUGAGACAUUAAAAAGAACACAAUGGUAGUUCCUAUCGUGGCUCAGUGGUUAACGAACCCUACUAGCAUCCAUGAGGAUGAGGGUUCGAUUCCUGCCCUUGCUCAGUGGGUUAAGGUUCCAGCAUUGCCAUGAGCGUCAGUGUAGGUCACAGACACAACUCGGAUCCCGCGUUGCUAUGGCUCUGGUAUAGGCCAGUGGCUACAGCUUGGAUUGGACCCCUAGCCUGGGAACCUCCAUAUACUGCAAGUGUGCCCCUAAAAAGACAAAAAAAAAAAAAA